rnacentral:piRNA from 1 species
UAGGACCUUGUUCAGGAAAUACCUGGC